rnacentral:rRNA from 1 species
GAUGAACGCUAGCUACAGGCUUAACACAUGCAAGUCGCGGGGCAGCAUGGGGGUUGCUUGCAACUCCCGAUGGCGACCGGCGCACGGGUGAGUAACGCGUAUCCAACCUGCCCUUCACCACGGGAUAACCCGGCGAAAGUCGGACUAAUACCGUAUGUUGUCCAUUGACGGCAUCCGAUUUGGACGAAAGGCUUUGCGGUGAAGGAUGGGGAUGCGUCCGAUUAGCCAGACGGCGGGGUAACGGCCCACCGUGGCUACGAUCGGUAGGGGUUCUGAGAGGAAGGUCCCCCACACUGGAACUGAGACACGGUCCAGACUCCUACGGGAGGCAGCAGUGAGGAAUAUUGGUCGAUGGGCGUAAGCCUGAACCAGCCAAGUAGCGUGCAGGAUGACGGCCCUAUGGGUUGUAAACUGCUUUUAUGCGGGGAUAAAGUGGCCCACGUGUGGGCUUUUGCAGGUACCGCAUGAAUAAGGACCGGCUAAUUCCGUG